GUUAAUGUAGCAAAGCCUGGCCUUGCAAAAGACCUAAACCCUUCUCACGGAAGUUCAAAUCUUCCCAUUAACU
rnacentral:tRNA from 1 species